UAUUGUCACGCCCCGAACCCAUCACCCGGGUCCGGCACGCGACCGGCCGCAUGAGCCCUAGAGCAGUGCCCUAAAGAUCAUGCAAGGCCUAAAAGGUACAACAAUUCCAAUAAUUCCAAUAUUUCCAUAAAUACCAAAAUCAAUGAUUAAUGUAAUUCAAUCAAAUCCAACCAAAAUGUACUGAAUGAUUACAUAAGUUCAAAUGUCCAUAAAUAAAAGAUAAAUUGACUUCUAACUAUCUAGCAGUCUGACUCCAGUUCGAGCUCACUUCUUGUCCCAUCCGACAGAUUCUACGAAUACAGUGCCUCUGAAAAAAAUGGAAGUGUAGUAUGAGCUUUUCCAGCCCAGUAAGAAUCCCAACAGCCAUACACAAUAAAAUCAUAAAAUAAUCAAGUAUCAAAAUAUAUAUAUCAUUUCAUCAUUUCAAAAGCUCAACAAACAACAAAUAUAUGUAAUCAGUACAUAUUCACAAAUCUUUUUUCACAUUAUGUGAUCCAUUCCCGUAUUACUCAAAUUCCAAAGUUUUCAAACUUUUUAUUUCUGGCGUUGGACUAACCAAGAUCAUGUCCCAGUCCAAAACUGCACAAAUCCCACGCAUAAGCUCGUGGCAGCUAUCCCACGCGUAAGCCCGUGGAGGCUAUCCUACGCAUAAGCUCGUAGAGGCUAUCCCACGCGUAAGCCCGUGGAGGCUAUCCC
rnacentral:lncRNA from 1 species